GCUGACCUCAGAUCUCGUAGAAGGCAUAUCAAUAAGCGGAGGA
rnacentral:rRNA from 1 species